CCUACGGGUGGCAGCAGUGGGGAAUAUUGCGCAAUGGGCGAAAGCCUGACGCAGCGACGCCGCGUGAGGGAUGAAGGUCUUCGGAUCGUAAACCUCUGUCAGCAGGGAAGAACGGUCACUGUGCUAAUCAGCAGUGAAUUGACGGUACCUGCAAAGGAAGCACCGGCUAACUCCGUGCCAGCAGCCGCGGUAAUACGGCGGGUGCGAGCGUUAAUCGGAAUUACUGGGCGUAAAGCGCUCGUAGGCGGUAUGUCAAGUCAAGGGGGAAAUCCCCGCGCUCAACGUGGGAACUGGCUUUGAAACUGGCAAACUGGAGUGUGUGAGAGGAUAGUGGAAUUCCAGGUGUAGGAGUGAAAUCCGUAGAUAUCUGGAGGAACAUCAGUGGCGAAGGCGACUAUCUGGCACAUAACUGACGCUUAGGAGCGAAAGCGUGGGUAGCAAACAGGAUUAGAUACCCCUAGUAGUC
rnacentral:rRNA from 1 species